rnacentral:rRNA from 1 species
GAUGAACGCUGGCGGCGUGCCUAACACAUGCAAGUCGAGCGAACGGACGAUAAGCUUGUUCCUCUGAUGUUAGCGGCGGACGGGUGAGUAACACGUGGAUAACCUACUUAUAAGACUGGGAUAACUACGGGAAACCGGUUCUAAUACUGGAUAAUAUUUUGUACCGCAUGGUUCAAAAGUGAAUGACGGUUUUGCCGUCACUAAUAGAUGGAUCCGCGCUGCAUUAGCUAGUUGGUAAGGUAACGGCUUACCAAGGCAACGAUGCGUAGCCGACCUGAGAGGGUGAUCGGCCACACUGGAACUGAGACACGGUCCAGACUCCUACGGGAGGCAGCAGUAGGGAAUCUUGCGCAAUGGGCGAAAGCCUGACGGAGCAACGCCGCGUGAGUGAAGAAGGUCUUCGGAUCGUAAAGCUCUGUUGUUGGGGAAGAACAGCAGUGUAAGAAAAUGUGGACGUCUUGACGGUACCUAAACAGAAAGCAACGGCUAACUUCGUG